UACGUAGGGGGCAAGCGUUGUCCGGAAUCAUUGGGCGUAAAGCGCGCGUAGGCGGCCCUGUAAGUCCGUUGUGAAAGUCAAAGGCUCAACCUUUGAAAGCCGAUGGAUACUGCAGGGCUAGAGUCCGGAAGAGGAGAGUGGAAUUCCUGGUGUAGCGGUGAAAUGCGCAGAUAUCAGGAGGAACACCAGUGGCGAAGGCGGUGCUCUGGGCCGGUACUGACGCUGAGGAGCGAAAGCGUGGGUAGCAAACAGG
rnacentral:rRNA from 1 species